UGGGGAAUAUUGGGCAAUGGGCGAAAGCCUGACCCAGCGACGCCGCGUGAAGGAAGAAGGCCCUCGGGUUGUAAACUUCAGUCAACAGGGAAGAAACAAAUGACGGUACCCUUGGAGGAAGCCCCGGCUAACUACGUGCCAGCAGCCGCGGUAAUACGUAGGGGGCAAGCGUUAUCCGGAAUUAUUGGGCGUAAAGAGUGCGUAGGUGGUUACCUAAGCAGGGGGUGAAAGGCAUUGGCUUAACCAAUGUUAGCCCCCUGAACUGGGCUACUUGAGUGCAGGAGAGGAAAGCGGAAUUCCUAGUGUAGCGGUGAAAUGCGUAGAUAUUAGGAGGAACACCAGUGGCGAAGGCGGCUUUCUGGACUGUUACUGACACUGAGGCACGAAAGUGUGGGGAGCAAACAGGAUUAGAUACCCUGGUAGU
rnacentral:rRNA from 1 species